AGGGGUUUAAGUUAACUAAACUAAUAGCCUUCAAAGCUUUAAAUGAUCUAUCAAUCAACCCCUAC
rnacentral:tRNA from 1 species